GCAACUCAGUGUGACAGGCUGGUGUCGGUAGCGGGUAUUCUAUUCACUACUUGUAUUGUCUGUACGCGCAGCUUCUGCUUCUGUCAGUUUUGUUUGCUGCUCGGCCACACGCUCGUCUUUGGAAGCAGCAGCCUUAACCACCUGGGAUUUGUUUUUUUUUGCUUCCAGCCUGUCAGAAAAGAUAAAUGAAAUAAAUGGGUGCCCUAUAUUUCCUGGUUAAAAAAAUCAGCUUUCUUUUUGUUUUCUUGAAUAAGAUUCUGGCGGGCCAGGAUGGACUCCUCACGGUUUAGCUUGCCUUCCAGGCUCCAGUAUUCUAUCUCCGCCAGCUGCUGCUCCAGUUAUUUUUCCCGCAACAGAUUCUGCCAUUCUAGGAAAUGUGGGGUCCCGGGCCUCUAUUCUUCAAAAAAAAGGAGCUUGGCACAAUGUUGUCGUUACUGGAAUCAGACCGUGGAUUAACAUCCCACCUGUCGCAGCGAUCCUGACACCCAUUAUCAAGAGCAACAUCUGUGGGAGAUUGUACAGAUACAGUGUUUCAGCUAUUAUAAUAAAAACCUGUGUCAGCUAAA